UACGGAGGAUGCGAGCGUUAUCCGGAUUUAUUGGGUUUAAAGGGUGCGCAGGCGGUUUUUUAAGUCAGCGGUGAAAUCUCCGGGCUCAACCCGGAACCUGCCGUUGAAACUGGGGAACUUGAGUAUGGAUGAAGUAGGCGGAAUUCGUUGUGUAGCGGUGAAAUGCAUAGAUAUAACGAGGAACCCCGAUUGCGUAGGCAGCUUACUAAGCCAUAACUGACGCUCAAGCACGAAAGCGUGGGUAUCAAACAGG
rnacentral:rRNA from 1 species